rnacentral:rRNA from 1 species
AGAGUUUGGUCCUGGCUCAGGACGAACGCUGGCGGCGUGCCUAACACAUGCAAGUCGAACGGGACUUGGCCCUUCGGGGACAAGUUUAGUGGCGGACGGGUGAGUAACGCGUGAGCAACCUGCCUUUCAGAGGGGGACAACAGUUGGAAACGACUGCUAAUACCGCAUGACGCUUUUAGGAGGCAUCUCCAAAAAGUCAAAGAUUUAUCGCUGAAAGAUGGGCUCGCGUCUGAUUAGAUAGUUGGUGGGGUAACGGCCUACCAAGUCAACGAUCAGUAGCCGGACUGAGAGGUUGAACGGCCACAUUGGGACUGAGAUACGGCCCAGACUCCUACGGGAGGCAGCAGUGGGGAAUAUUGGGCAAUGGGGGAAACCCUGACCCAGCAACGCCGCGUGAAGGAAGAAGGCCUUCGGGUUGUAAACUUCUUUUACCAGGGACGAAGAACGUGACGGUACCUGGAGAAAAAGCCACGGCUAACUACGUGCCAGCAGCCGCGGU